UGGUCUUAGCUUGCUAAGGCUGAUGGCGACCGGCGCACGGGUGAGUAACACGUAUCCAACCUGCCGUCUACUCUUGGCCAGCCUUCUGAAAGGAAGAUUAAUCCAGGAUGGCAUCAUGAGUUCACAUGUCCGCAUGAUUAAAGGUAUUUUCCGGUAGACGAUGGGGAUGCGUUCCAUUAGAUAGUAGGCGGGGUAACGGCCCACCUAGUCAACGAUGGAUAGGGGUUCUGAGAGGAAGGUCCCCCACAUUGGAACUGAGACACGGUCCAAACUCCUACGGGAGGCAGCAGUGAGGAAUAUUGGUCAAUGGGCGAUGGCCUGAACCAGCCAAGUAGCGUGAAGGAUGACUGACCUAUGGGUUGUAAACUUCUUUUAUAAAGGAAUAAAGUCGGGUAUGCAUACCCGUUUGCAUGUACUUUAUGAAUAAGGAUCGGCUAACUCCGUGCCAGCAGCCGCGGUAAUACGGAGGAUCCGAGCGUUAUCCGGAUUUAUUGGGUUUAAAGGGAGCGUAGAUGGAUGUUUAAGUCAGUUGUGAAAGUUUGCGGCUCAACCGUAAAAUUGCAGUUGAUACUGGAUGUCUUGAGUGCAGUUGAGGCAGGCGGAAUUCGUGGUGUAGCGGUGAAAUGCUUAG
rnacentral:rRNA from 1 species